GACGAACGCUGGCGGCGUGCCUAAUACAUGCAAGUUGAGCGCUGAAGGUUGGUACUUGUACCGACUGGAUGAGCAGCGAACGGGUGAGUAACGCGUGGGGAAUCUGCCUUUGAGCGGGGGACAACAUUUGGAAACGAAUGCUAAUACCGCAUAACAACUUUAAACACAAGUUUUAAGUUUGAAAGAUGCAAUUGCAUCACUCAAAGAUGAUCCCGCGUUGUAUUAGCUAGUUGGUGAGGUAAAGGCUCACCAAGGCGAUGAUACAUAGCCGACGUGGGAGGGUGAUCGGCCACAUUGGGACUGAGACACGGCCCAAAAUCCUACGGGAGGCAGCAGUAGGGAAUCUUCGGCAAUGGACGAAAGUCUGACCGAGCAACGCCGCGUGAGUGAAGAAGGUUUUCGGAUCGUAAAACUCUGUUGGUAGAGAAGAACGUUGGUGAGAGUGGAAAGCUCAUCAAGUGACGGUAACUACCCAGAAAGGGACGGCUAACUACGUGCCAGCCGCCGCAGUAA
rnacentral:rRNA from 1 species